GUUGCACCAGAAGUAGAUAGCUUAACCUUCGGGAGGGCGUUUACCACGGUGUGAUUCAUGACUGGGGUGAAGUCGUAACAAGGUAACCCUAGGGGAACCUGGGGUUGGAUCACCUCCUUACCUUAA
rnacentral:rRNA from 1 species